UACAGAGGGUGCAAGCGUUGUUCGGAAUUACUGGGCGUAAAGGGCUCGUAGGCGGCCAACUAAGUCAGACGUGAAAUCCCUCGGCUUAACCGGGGAACUGCGUCUGAUACUGGAUGGCUUGAAUCCGGGAGAGGGAUGCGGAAUUCCAGGUGUAGCGGUGAAAUGCGUAGAUAUCUGGAGGAACACCGGUGGCGAAGGCGGCAUCCUGGACCGGUAUUGACGCUGAGGAGCGAAAGCCAGGGGAGCAAACGGG
rnacentral:rRNA from 1 species